rnacentral:lncRNA from 1 species
UCACAUCUGCUAGCCAAUGCAUUAUACUAUUCUGUUACAACCAACACCAUCUAAUCAAAGAAAAACAUUCAGAUCCACAAGUAAGAAGUGAAAGCACAUAUCUUAGGAAAGGUUACGUAAAGGCUGAAGACAAACAAAAGUUGUCCAUCUCCAGCCUCAUAAGUUACAUGAGACGCGACGGUGUAAUACAAACAACAUGGAAGAUGUCAUAUAGCAGAUUCAAGUGGAAACGAAAUCACAAGACAACUUAAAGCUAACAACUUCUCCCUCUCUCACCCUCACACACACACACACACACACACACAAACCCAGAGCAACGGUUGAGUUCAUCGCCUGAAAUGCAUCUUUGCUCUGAUAAGAAGAGAAAAGAGAGGGAAGAAAGCAAGUGAGACUCAGCAUUACAUUGCAGUCGAAGUAGGAGAUGGACUCGCUGGUAAUUUUCAAUCUACCUUUGUGCUCCUACCUAACCUGCGUGAGGAGGGAAAUCGCAUCAGGGGAAGUGGAGAUAAGCAACUCGAACGGAAUCAUGCAGCUCCAAGGAAGAGAGAGAAAGGUGUCAAC